UUGUCUCAAAGAUUAAGCCAUGCAUGUCUCAGUACAAGCCGAAUUAAGGUGAAACCGCGAAAGGCUCAUUAAAUCAGUUAUGGUUCCUUAGAUCGUACUCACGUUUACUCGGAUAACUGUGGUAAUUCUAGAGCUAAUACGUGCAAACAGAGCUCCGACCGGAGACGGAAGGAGCGCUUUUAUUAGAUCAAAACCAAUCGGCGGCGGUCGCCCUUCGUGGCGCGUCCGUCGUCGUUCGUUCUGGCGAAUCUGAAUAACUUUAAGCAGAUCGCACGGCCCAGCGCCGGCGACGCAUCUUUCAAAUGUCUGCCUUAUCAACUGUCGAUGGUAGGUUCCGUGCCUACCAUGGUCGUAACGGGUAACGGGGAAUCAGGGUUCGAUUCCGGAGAGGGAGCCUGAGAAACGGCUACCACAUCCAAGGAAGGCAGCAGGCGCGCAAAUUACCCACUCCCGGCACGGGGAGGUAGUGACGAAAAAUAACGAUACGGGACUCAUCCGAGGCCCCGUAAUCGGAAUGAGCACACUCUAAACCCUUUAACGAGGAUCAAUUGGAGGGCAAGUCUGGUGCCAGCAGCCGCGGUAAUUCCAGCUCCAAUAGCGUAUAUUAAAGUUGUUGCGGUUAAAAAGCUCGUAGUCGAAUCUGUGUCCCGCGCCGCCGGUUCGUCGCUCGCGGCGUUUAACUGGCGUGUCUUUUCGCGGGACGUCCUGCCGGUGGGCGUCUGCUCCGGUCCGUCCGUCGUUCGAUUUUUUCGUCGGCGGUAGCGGGCCGGGUGGCGGCCCAACUUGCGAAUCCCGCCGCGGUGCUCUUCGCUGAGUGUCGAGGCGGGCCGGCACGUUUACUUUGAACAAAUUAGAGUGCUUAAAGCAGGCUAAAACUUCGCCUGAAUACCUUGUGCAUGGAAUAAUGGAAUAGGACCUCGGUUCUAUUUUGUUGGUUUUCGGAACCCCGAGGUAAUGAUUAAUAGGAACGGAUGGGGGCAUUCGUAUUGCGACGUUAGAGGUGAAAUUCUUGGAUCGUCGCAAGACGGACGGAAGCGAAAGCAUUUGCCAAAAACGCUUUCAUUGAUCAAGAACGAAAGUUAGAGGUUCGAAGGCGAUCAGAUACCGCCCUAGUUCUAACCAUAAACGAUGCCAGCUAGCGAUCCGCCGACGUUCCUCCGAUGACUCGGCGGGCAGCUUCCGGGAAACCAAAGCUUUUGGGUUCCGGGGGAAGUAUGGUUGCAAAGCUGAAACUUAAAGGAAUUGACGGAAGGGCACCACCAGGAGUGGAGCCUGCGGCUUAAUUUGACUCAACACGGGAAACCUCACCAGGCCCGGACACCGGAAGGAUUGACAGAUUGAGAGCUCUUUCUUGAUUCGGUGGGUGGUGGUGCAUGGCCGUUCUUAGUUGGUGGAGCGAUUUGUCUGGUUAAUUCCGAUAACGAACGAGACUCUAGCCUGCUAACUAGGCGUCGUUUCCGACAUCUCGAAGGCCCGCCGGCCCGUCGCGUUCGCGCGUCGCGGUCCGCGCGCGGUUUUUACUGUCGGCGUACAAACAAUUCUUCUUAGAGGGACAGGCGGCUUCUAGCCGCACGAGAUUGAGCAAUAACAGGUCUGUGAUGCCCUUAGAUGUUCUGGGCCGCACGCGCGCUACACUGAAGGAAUCAGCGUGUCCUCCCUGGCCGAGCGGCCCGGGUAACCCGCUGAACCUCCUUCGUGCUAGGGAUUGGGGCUUGCAAUUGUUCCCCAUGAACGAGGAAUUCCCAGUAAGCGCGAGUCAUAAGCUCGCGUUGAUUACGUCCCUGCCCUUUGUACACACCGCCCGUCGCUACUACCGAUUGAAUGAUUUAGUGAGGUCUUCGGACCGGUACGCGGUGGCGUUUCGACGUCGCCGAUGCUGCUGGGAAGAUGACCAAACUUGAUUAUUUAGAGGAAGUAAAAGUCGUAACAAGGUUUCG
rnacentral:rRNA from 1 species